AUACUUACCUGGCAGGGGAGAUACCAUGAUCAAGAAGGUGGUUCACCCAGGGUGAGGCUCGUCCAUUGCACUUCCGGAUGUGCUGACCCCUGGGUUCGGGGAUGCGCCGUACCGUAGUGCAAUUUCCUCGCGAUGUGAUUGGAUAAUUGUCUACGUUCAUGA
ensembl:snRNA U1 U1 spliceosomal RNA